AGAGUUUGAUCCUGGCUCAGGAUGAACGCUAGCGACAGGCUUAACACAUGCAAGUCGAGGGGCAGCACAGGUAGCAAUACCGGGUGGCGACCGGCGCACGGGUGAGUAACGCGUAUGCAACUUGCCUAUCAGAGGGGGAUAACCCGGCGAAAGUCGGACUAAUACCGCAUGAAGCAGGGGCCCCGCAUGGGGAUAUUUGCUAAAGAUUCAUCGCUGAUAGAUAGGCAUGCGUUCCAUUAGGCAGUUGGCGGGGUAACGGCCCACCAAACCGACGAUGGAUAGGGGUUCUGAGAGGAAGGUCCCCCACAUUGGUACUGAGACACGGACCAAACUCCUACGGGAGGCAGCAGUGAGGAAUAUUGGUCAAUGGGCGUAAGCCUGAACCAGCCAAGUCGCGUGAGGGAUGAAGGUUCUAUGGAUCGUAAACCUCUUUUAUAAGGGAAUAAAGUGCGGGACGUGUCCUGUUUUGUAUGUACCUUAUGAAUAAGGAUCGGCUAACUCCGUGCCAGCAGCCGCGGUAAUACGGAGGAUCCGAGCGUUAUCCGGAUUUAUUGGGUUUAAAGGGUGCGUAGGCGGCCUUUUAAGUCAGCGGUGAAAGUCUGUGGCUCAACCAUAGAAUUGCCGUUGAAACUGGGGGGCUUGAGUAUGUUUGAGGCAGGCGGAAUGCGUGGUGUAGCGGUGAAAUGCUUAGAUAUCACGCAGAACCCCGAUUGCGAAGGCAGCCUGCCAAGCCAUGACUGACGCUGAUGCACGAAAGCGUGGGGAUCAAACAGGAUUAGAUACCCUGGUAGUCCACGCAGUAAACGAUGAUCACUAGCUGUUUGCGAUACAGUGUAAGCGGCACAGCGAAAGCGUUAAGUGAUCCACCUGGGGAGUACGCCGGCAACGGUGAAACUCAAAGGAAUUGACGGGGGCCCGCACAAGCGGAGGAACAUGUG
rnacentral:rRNA from 1 species